GAAAAGAAACCAACAGGGAUUGCCCUAGUAACGGCGAGUGAAGCGGCAACAGCUCAAAUUUGAAAUCUGGCUUCGGCCCGAGUUGUAAUUUGCAGAGGAUGUUUUUGGCGCGGUGCCUUCCGAGUUCCCUGGAACGGGACGCCACAGAGGGUGAGAGCCCCGUAUGGUUGGACACCAAGCCUGUGUAAAACUCCUUCGACGAGUCGAGUAGUUUGGGAAUGCUGCUCUAAAUGGGAGGUAAAUCUCUUCUAAAGCUAAAUACCGGCCAGAGACCGAUAGCGCACAAGUAGAGUGAUCGAAAGAUGAAAAGCACCUUGAAAAGGGGGUUAAACAGUACGUGAAAUUGUUGAAAGGGAAGCGCUCAUGACCAGACUUGUGCCGUGCGGCUCAUCCGGGGUUCUCCCCGGUGCACUCCGCACGGCUCAGGCCAGCAUCGGUUCUCGUUGGGGGAUAAGAACAGUAGGAACGUGGCCCCCCUCGGGGGGUGUUAUAGCCUAUUGUACGAUACCCUGGCGGGGACCGAGGACCGCGCUUCGGCAAGGAUGCUGGCGUAAUGGUCAUCAGCGACCCGUCUU
rnacentral:rRNA from 1 species